UAGGGAAUUUUGCGCAAUGGACGAAAGUCUGACGCAGCAACGCCGCGUGAGGGAUGAAGGCCCUCGGGUUGUAAACUUCUGUUGGAUGGGAAAAAAAGCCGCAAGGUCUUGAUGGUACCAUUCGAGUAAGCACCGGCUAACUACGUGCCAGCAGCCGCGGUAAUACGUAGGGUGCAAGCGUUGUUCGGAAUCACUGGGCGUAAAGAGAGCGUAGGCGGGAUUGUAAGUUAGGAGUUUAAUGCAUGGGCUUAACCCAUGAUCUGCUUUUAAUACUGCAGUUCUUGAGUAUGGGAGAGGGUGAUGGAAUUCCAGGUGUAGCGGUGGAAUGCGUAGAUAUCUGGAAGAACACCAGUAGCGAAGGCGGUCGCCUGGCCCAAUACUGACGCUGAGGCUCGAAAGCUAGGGGAGCAAACA
rnacentral:rRNA from 1 species